UACGUAGGGUGCGAGCGUUGUCCGGAAUUACUGGGCGUAAAGCGCUCGUAGGUGGUUUGUCGCGUUGUUCGUGAAAACCUGCGGCUCAACUGCAGGCUUGCGGUCGAUACGGGCAGGCUGGAGUUCGGUAGGGGAGACUGGAAUUCCUGGUGUAGCGGUGAAAUGCGCAGAUAUCAGGAGGAACACCGGUGGCGAAGGCGGGUCUCUGGGCCGAUACUGACGCUGAGGAGCGAAAGCGUGGGGAGCGAACAGG
rnacentral:rRNA from 1 species